UCUUUCUUGCCUUUAACCUUAUCUUUUUCACUCAGGUCAGUGCCACGCCCCUGCCUACUUGCACAGCUGUCCUGGACUUGAGUGUGUGCCUUUCUUUGUUGGGGAUCCCCAUCAUAGAUAUAGGUAGUCAAUGCUGCAGUUGCUUUAAUAACCUUGUUGACCUCGACGCAGCUGCUUGCCUUUGCGCCUACUUGAAAACUCGGAGCCUCCUCACCCUGGAUCUCACAGCUGCCGUUACAGCGAUUGUGAAUGGCUGUGGCAAGCACUAUCCAUCAGGGUACCAAUGUCUCUGAACAGAUUUGCUUGCUUACUGCUGUUGGAAUGUGCUUUUCUUUUGUUUCUCAAUCAUGAAUUUACUUCUAAAGAACUCCUCGCCCUAAACAGUGGUUAGGAGUUACUUUGUCGUGGUGAUCUCUCACAUUUCAUGUUUGUAAUUUCCAAUAAAGUUUUCAUGUGCGAGUGAGCAGUCAGCUCUAAGCUUGUAUCUUUCCCUGUGGUGAUCAAUGAAAAGUUAAUAAGUUUUUUUUUUUAUGUUAUAUUCAUAACGCCAUUUUCUGACUCUGUAAGGGAGCAUUACGUAUUUAUAAGCAUAAAAUUGAGGAUUAAUGCACGGAUAUUUCUGUUGUUAGCCGGGAGGCAAGAUUAUGCUUACUUGCGGUUAAAACAAUCCGUGGUUAAUUAGCAGCAUGCGUUGGAAACAUGCCUACAAAAAUGGAUAUCUAAUAUCUGAUUUUCUUGAUCGACUAAUUAGUACGUUUACGCUUGGUAAAUGUCACCUGCAACUUUCCAACCAGGCUUCGCAGCACUCUCCCGUGUACCAACCAGGCUUCGCAGCACUUCCCUAUCCUCUUGGACAGACUGUGAAAUAGCAACGUCCUAGAAAAAUCUGUCCUUUGCCUUUUGUGCUGUUGUGGCUGAGAAAGUGAGAAAACAUCAAAACUAUGGUGUGAUUAAGUUACUCGGAUGUUAUUUUGGUUUCGGGAUAAAUUCCUUUUGCCUACAAGCGGCAAAAUGGACAAAUGAUUGAUAGACGGAUCUUGUUAGAUGAAUAGCCGACCAGUUUAAUCCAAUCCAAUUAUAAGCAUUUAAUAAAUGGAUGCAAAGAGGUAUAAGAUUUAGAUGGAUAGUGCAAAACUAUAAUCCAUUCAUUUGACUAUCUAUUAGUCCUAGGACUAACGAGAUUCCUGUACACUCUACUAUACUCUUUUUUAAUUCAUACUGUACGCUGUUUUUUAGUUACAGUCCGUACAAUAUCUCUUUGUCCGUACAAUAUCUAUCUCUCCUUCUCUCUCUCUCUCUCUCUUUAAUUUAUUCUAUUCCUAGUUAUUGAAUUAAUAAUUGGUUAGAAACCACCCUCUCUCGCGCCAACGCUGUCAUUUGCUUAAUUUAAAAGCAAUGAUAAAGUACCAUAACAAGUUAUGUCAUCUAUGCUGCAUUGAUAGCAAUGACUGGCAAUAUAGAUAGCAGUGACUGGAAAUAUAGAUGGUUUCGUGAAAAGAAAUUGUUAAAAGUGGGAUGAGCCGAUGAGGGAACAUGGUUGUAAGAGCUAGAGAGGGAGGGCGAAGGGGGAAAGCUAGGAGGAAUGAAACAAACUUGUGUCAUUCCAAAACAUAAGAUGAAGUGAAAAAAUAAAUUUUUCCCAAAACGAGAGGUAAAAGAAAUAAAGUCAAUGCUUAUAACCUGCUGCAUGGCAUUCUACCCGGGCGCUCCACAUGGCAUUAUCUAAUAAACCCAAAAAAAAAUUUACUCUUCACAUGGCAUUCUACCAGGGCGCUCCAUAUGGUUGGCAAAUGCUGUCGGCCUUAUGGUAAAACAUAAAAUCAUACGGGAUUAGAUUGUCAUGCAUAUUAUGUUUAUAUAUUUUGGCCACUUCAACCAUUUUAAUUUUUAAACAAGAGUAAUUUCGAUAUUUUCAUAGGUUCCGUUACGAAUAAUCAUUUCCGUUAGUUUGACACUUUAAUCCAAAUUACAAUUGGAUUAUAUGUAGUUUUUGAAACUAUAAGGGGUUAUGUGAAAAUUAACUGUCGGCCUCAUGGCAACAAAUUCAACUAUAAAACCAUUGGCGCGAUCUAGUGUGAUUCUAUUGUUCAUUGAUAAUGGAUUUACGUGGAUGACAUGGAUAAUGCACUUAAGUCCACCAAUGUAAUUGGUUAUAAAUAGUCAUCCAUUUAAAAAUAUUAUGUAUUUUUUAGUCAUCGAAAUCUACUUAGAUUUAUUUGGAUGGAUAAAUAGACAUGGAUUCGUCGCAUUAGCGUUCGUUUUUAAAAUGCUAAAAUCAGGAGGAACAAAAAGGUACAUACAAGGUGGACUAUUAUAUAAGUUUGGACAAGAAUAUCAUCAUCAUUUAAAAAUGAAUCUAAAAAUUCUAGGACAUUGAAUUGAAUUAAUUCUAACUCUAACUUUCAAAUUUCGUAGGUAAAUAGUGUUGCUUACACUCCAAGAGUAGUUAUCACACUCCACUUUGACAUUUAUUAAGUGAAAGAAGAUUGAUAAGUGCAUAUUUUGUGCAUUUUAAGUAUUUUUUAUUAUUUAGUUUUGGAGCGUUUAAGUUAUUUUCAAGCUAAUAAACUAGAUUUCUAGUGAAAAUUUGCAUUUUUUUGGUUUCAUUGUGAAACAUUGCAUUUGUAUGGAGUGAAUUAAGAAGAUAUUUGGAUAAUGGUUGAUGAUUUGAAGUGAUAUAAAGAGAAUAUGUAGUGCAAAAUGUUCCAAAGAUAAAAUGCAAUCAAGUAUAAAGGAAGAAAUAUUUGACAGUUUUGACACAUUUUGAUAUUUUGGCUAUAUCUUGAGUUAAAAGUAUCAAAUUGAGAUAAUUCUUGAAUCGUUUUGAAGCUAAGAAAUAUUUCUACAUUUCUUAUGAAACAUCAAAGUCCAAUUCAUGAGUUUUCGUGGUCAAAAAGUUGAAAUACAGUUGGCCAUUUUUGCUACCAAAAGUUAAAAUAUGAGAUUGAGCAGCCAAAGAUAUUUUGAUCAUUUCUUAGUCUACAGGACUCCAAAUCAGAUGAUUCUUGAUACACUAAAAACUAACUCAAAGGAUUGCAACCUUCAUGUUUUGCACAAAAAUUAGUUCAAUCUCCAUCAUCGAAAAAAUAUCAGUUGAACUUGGUGUAAAAAUUGACUGAUCAAAAAAGUUCAAACCGGCAGGGAAGGCAAUACGCGGGUACAGUACGCAUCCUUAAGAAUGUGUAUUCUAUAAAUGUAUGUGGAACUUGCACAGCCACUUAUUUUGAUUUUUCACAAAAUUUUAUAGCUCAAUUUCAACAAGAAUUUCAACUGUAGUUGUAAAGAAAAACGAUGAGGGGACAUGGUUGUAAGAGAGAGGGAGGGGAAAGGGGGAAAGGAGGAAUGAAACAAACUUGUGACGUUCCAAAACAUAAGAUGAAGUAAAAAAAUAAAAGUUUCGCAAAAAGAGAAGGAAAAGAAUUAAAGUCAAUGCUUAUAACCUCCUGACAUGGCAUUCUACCUGGGCGCCUCACAUGGCAGUAUGAAGUAAACCCAAAAAAAAAAUUGCUCUUCACGUGGCAUUCUAUAUGGACGCAUCACAUGGCAUUCGACCAGGGCGCUUCACAUGGCAUUAUGAAAUAUACCCAAAAAAAAUUACUCAAAAAGUGGGAAUAUAUAUAUAUAUAUAUAUAUAUAUAUAUAGGGCAAAUUACACUUUGCCCCCUGUGGUUCAGUGCUUUUAUACAUAAUCCCUCCUAUGCUUUCAAAAGGUAUACAUAACCCCCUAAUAGUUUAGAUAAAAAUGUUAAAGUUACGAAAUUUGCAUUUCAUAAUUGAGUCAACUAAAAUGUCAAAAUACAGUUGGCCAUUUUUGCUACCAAAAGUUAAAUUAAAAUUUGACACUAGUUCAAAGAAAUGCUAAAUCUAGGGAGUUUAUUCAUGGGAGUAAUGGUGCACAUUUGUAACUUUAAUGACUUGUUCCAUGUAAUUUUAUAGAGGAAAUGAACUUGUAAUUAAUUUUAUAACCAUGAGAGUAGGUAUGACUUAAUUAUAGGUAUAGUUGAUUUACUAUGAGAAUAAGUUUUACCUGCAUAAAGAAAUUAUACUAUAACUAACCAAGAUAAUAGUACUCAAUGAUCCAAAAAUUGUAUUUGCAUGAAUAGUUAGGGAUACCAUAGCCUAAAGAGCUUUCAUAGCUAUUUUCUUGCACAUUCUAGCUCAGUUUUAUUUCCUUCAAUUUGUUGAUCGUUUAAAUAAUUGAGGAGUUUUAGUCGUGCUGGUAAUUGUCCAUUUUUUCCUAUGGGUUCGGCCCUUAAUAUCCUAUAUUCAAUCUCGACUUAUAUACUUGUAAAAAAUCACGUAUGAGAUAUUUAGAAUUUUAUGAAUGUAAAAUUUAGCUGUAGAAUAAGCUAAAUUGUUAUAUGCAUGCCGCAUUCUCAUCAAGUUUUUGCUACAAAGUUAACCUCAUGUGGAAUAUGCAUACUUCAAACUCUUAAAUAACCUACAUAUUGGGUUGGGAUAAACUCUAAUUCCUGUCUAGACUUGAUCUUGAGUUAUCAUCGAGGAACAUGGCAACUAGGGGUGAGCAAAAAUACCUGUUAAUCCAAAAAUUUAUCAUAUCCGAUCUAAUCUGAUCCGAAAAUUAGGAUAUCCAAUAUAUAUUAUUUGACCGGAUCAAAAGAGAAUCGGAUACCUGUUUAGAUACAAGACGGGAUAGAAUCACAUAAUUAAAAACCCGAAGGUACCCAACCAGCCUUGCAUAUAUAUUUUUUAUUUUUUAUUUUUAUACACAUAUUACAAAAUAAUAUUUUCAGAGCUAAAUAAGUAAUUCCAUUAAACAAAUUGCAUUACAAAAAAUGGGAGACUAUAGUUUGUUUUUAAAAUUUAUUUGUAGAGGCUAUGAUUUUAUAUUUUUUUUAAAAAAAGUUUAAUUGAUGUGGAAUAUGUAUGUUAAAAAAAAAACUACUACUUAUUUCAAAUUUUCAUUGAUUUUGAGUUCUUUUAAGUUUUUUCCUUUUUUUUUGUCUUCUCUUCGAAUGUUUGUUUCUUAGUGGAAGAUUUUUUUGAGAAAUUUUUUUUAUUAAAUCUUAAAUGAAUAUGUAAUAUACAAAAUUAAAUUAGUAUAAAUCAUUUUUUUUAAAAAAAUUAAUGAUAAGUGGGGCUAGAUGGGCACCUGUUGACUCGACCUUGUCUCAACGGGUGCCCAAUUAUCUGAUACUCGUUGAUAUGUGGGGCAAGUAAGGGUUAGAAAAUGGUGCAUGAGAUGAGUACCCCAUCCAUACCCACUCGUAAUGGCAACAUGCAAUUUUGACACAUCUUAUUCACUCAUCCAAUGGGUUUGCCAACCUAUGCUAGAGUUGCCAGCUAAUAGUGACAGAGCCAAGUUUUUUUUUCCUACGGGAUCAAAAUUUUUCCUAACAAAAUUAUCUUAAUAUGUUAUGUUCAAAAUAAUUUUCAUCUAUUUAAACAUAUGACAUCUAAAAAUAUCAAAUAUUAAAUUUAGUUAUAAAGAAAAUAAAAAUUAAGACAAGAAAUAACCAUUGAUUAAAUAUUUUGUCACAAACCGCCCAACUUGCAUAUUAUGAGGAGAUGCUCCAAUUUGUCAUAUAUGUAAUACACACACACACACACAUACACACAUAUAUAUAUAUGUAUGUAUGUAUAUGUGUGUGUGUGUGUGUAUUUUCAAUUAGAAAAGAUAAAAGUUAUAUUAACGUACCUUAAAAUUUUAACAUCUUCUUCUUAAAAGUAAAAUGAGUGUUAUGUUCUUUCAUAGAAUUAAAUUUAUCUAUAAUUGAAUCAAUGCUAAAUUUUUCAAUAACUUUCUUUUCUAUGCACACAGUUAAGUAAUCGUUCAAGAAAUUAUCUUUCAUUUUGUUUUGGACCUUUGUCUUGACUAUUUUCAUAAUUAAAAAUAUCCAUUCUGUAAUUGUAGUUAAUACAGGAUGAGUGAAAACAAGUUUAAUCAAUUAGGCUAAAUUGUAUAUUUGUAUAUGAGCCAAUAAAGUAAUAAUUAUUUUUAGCCCACUGAUAAUUAUGAAUUGGGUCUUUUUAUUAUAGUAUGUCAAAUUGGGUCAAUUUACUAUGGAUAAUCAAAUUAUAUGUUUAAUUUUUUGAAUGUUAAAUAAUUAGCACAAUAAAACAUAAAUUUGGAGGCCAAUUUUGCUCUACACGUAUAUUUUUAUAUUAUGAAUUAAGGUUUUCAAAACUUGGGGGGCCGUGGCCACCCUCAGCUACCCCCCAACCCCACCCCACCCCACCCAAAAACCGCCCUCGCCAGCUCCAUCAUUGCAGCGAAACCAAGAAAGUUGACCCGCCUUGCUACUAUAAAAACCCUCAACUUCUACCAAAACAUUGCACAGCAAAAGCCCUUCUUUCUUGACUAAACCAACAAUACUUUUGAGAAUAUGGGUUCCAAGGCCUCCACAACCACCCUAGCUCUCUUUCUUGCCUUUAACCUUAUCUUUUUCACUCAGGUCAGUGCCACGCCCCUGCCUACUUGCACAGCUGUCCUGGACUUGAGUGUGUGCCUUUCUUUGUUGGGGAUCCCCAUCAUAGAUAUAGGUAGUCAAUGCUGCAGUUGCUUUAAUAACCUUGUUGACCUCGACGCAGCUGCUUGCCUUUGCGCCUACUUGAAAACUCGGAGCCUCCUCACCCUGGAUCUCACAGCUGCCGUUACAGCGAUUGUGAAUGGCUGUGGCAAGCACUAUCCAUCAG
rnacentral:lncRNA from 1 species